rnacentral:rRNA from 1 species
GCUCAUUAAAUCAGUUAUCGUUUAUUUGAUAGUACCUUACUACUUGGAUAACCGUGGUAAUUCUAGAGCUAAUACAUGCUAAAAACCCCGACUUCGGGAGGGGUGUAUUUAUUAGAUAAAAACCAAUGCCCUUCGGGGCUCCUUGGUGAAUCAUGAUAACUUAACGAAUCGCAUGCCUUGCGCCGGCGAUGGUUCAUUCAAAUUUCUGCCCUAUCAACUUUCGAUGGUAGGAUAGUGGCCUACCAUGGUAUCAACGGGUAACGGGGAAUUAGGGUUCUAUUCCGGAGAGGGAGCCUGAGAAACGGCUACCACAUCCAAGGAAGGCAGCAGGCGCGCAAAUUACCCAAUCCCGACACGGGGAGGUAGUGACAAUAAAUACUGAUACAGGGCUCUUUUGGGUCUUGUAAUUGGAAUGAGUACAAUUUAAAUACCUUAACGAGGAACAAUUGGAGGGCAAGUCUGGUGCCAGCAGCCGCGGUAAUUCCAGCUCCAAUAGCGUAUAUUAAAGUUGUUGCAGUUAAAAAGCUCGUAGUUGAACCUUGGGCCUGGCUGGCCGGUCUGCCUCACCGCAUGUACUGGUUCGGCCGGGCCUUUCCUCCUGGGGAUCCGCAUGCCCUUCACUGGGUGUGUUGGGGAACCAGGACUUUUACUUUGAAAAAAUUAGAGUGUUCAAAGCAGGCCUUUGCUCGAAUACAUUAGCAUGGAAUAAUAGAAUAGGACGUGCGGUCCUAUUUUGUUGGUUUCUAGGACCGCCGUAAUGAUUAAUAGGGAUAGUCGGGGGCAUCAGUAUUCAGUUGUCAGAGGUGAAAUUCUUGGAUUUACUGAAGACUAACUACUGCGAAAGCAUUUGCCAAGGAUGUUUUCAUUAAUCAGUGAACGAAAGUUAGGGGAUCGAAGACGAUCAGAUACCGUCGUAGUCUUAACCGUAAACUAUGCCGACUAGGGAUCGGGCGAUGUUAUUCUUUUGACUCGCUCGGCACCUUACGAGAAAUCAAAG